rnacentral:rRNA from 1 species
GGGUUGUGAGGUUAAGCGACUAAGCGUACACGGUGGAUGCCCUGGCAGUCAGAGGCGAUGAAGGACGUGCUAAUCUGCGAAAAGCGUCGGUAAGGUGAUAUGAACCGUUAUAACCGGCGAUGUCCGAAUGGGGAAACCCAGUGUGAUUCGUCACACUAUCGUUAACUGAAUACAUAGGUUAACGAGGCGAACCGGGGGAACUGAAACAUCUAAGUACCCCGAGGAAAAGAAAUCAACCGAGAUUCCCCCAGUAGCGGCGAGCGAACGGGGAGCAGCCCAGAGUCUGAAUCAGCUUGUGUGUUAGUGGAACGGUCUGGAAAGUCCGACGGUACAGGGUGAUAGUCCCGUACACCAAAAUGCACAGGUUGUGAACUCGAAGAGUAGGGCGGGACACGUGGUAUCCUGUCUGAAUAUGGGGGGACCAUCCUCCAAGGCUAAAUACUCCUGACUGACCGAUAGUGAACCAGUACCGUGAGGGAAAGGCGAAAAGAACCCCGGCGAGGGGAGUGAAAAAGAACCUGAAACCGUGUACGUACAAGCAGUGGGAGCACCUUCGGGUGUGACUGCGUACCUUUUGUAUAAUGGGUCAGCGACUUAUAUUCUGUAGCAAGGUUAACCGUAUAGGGGAGCCGCAGGGAAACCGAGUCUUAACUGGGCGUUAAGUUGCAGGGUAUAGACCCGAAACCCGGUGAUCUAGCCAUGGGCAGGUUGAAGGUUGGGUAACACUAACUGGAGGACCGAACCGACUAAUGUUGAAAAAUUAGCGGAUGACUUGUGGCUGGGGGUGAAAGGCCAAUCAAACCGGGAGAUAGCUGGUUCUCCCCGAAAGCUAUUUAGGUAGCGCCUCGUGAAUUCAUCUUCGGGGGUAGAGCACUGUUUCGGCUAGGGGGUCAUCCCGACUUACCAACCCGAUGCAAACUACGAAUACCGAAGAAUGUUAUCACGGGAGACACACGGCGGGUGCUAACGUCCGUCGUGAAGAGGGAAACAACCCAGACCGCCAGCUAAGGUCCCAAAGUCAUGGUUAAGUGGGAAACGAUGUGGGAAGGCACAGACAGCCAGGAUGUUGGCUUAGAAGCAGCCAUCAUUUAAAGAAAGCGUAAUAGCUCACUGGUCGAGUCGGCCUGCGCGGAAGAUGUAACGGGGCUAAACCAUGCACCGAAGCUGCGGCAGCGACACUAUGUGUUGUUGGGUAGGGGAGCGUUCUGUAAGCCUGCGAAGGUGUGCUGUGAGGCAUGCUGGAGGUAUCAGAAGUGCGAAUGCUGACAUAAGUAACGAUAAAGCGGGUGAAAAGCCCGCUCGCCGGAAGACCAAGGGUUCCUGUCCAACGUUAAUCGGGGCAGGGUGAGUCGACCCCUAAGGCGAGGCCGAAAGGCGUAGUCGAUGGGAAACAGGUUAAUAUUCCUGUACUUGGUGUUACUGCGAAGGGGGGACGGAGAAGGCUAUGUUAGCCGGGCGACGGUUGUCCCGGUUUAAGCAUGUAGGCUGGUUAUCCAGGCAAAUCCGGAUAAUCAAGGCUGAGGUGUGAUGACGAGGCACUACGGUGCUGAAGUAACAAAUGCCCUGCUUCCAGGAAAAGCCUCUAAGCAUCAGGUAACAUCAAAUCGUACCCCAAACCGACACAGGUGGUCAGGUAGAGAAUACCAAGGCGCUUGAGAGAACUCGGGUGAAGGAACUAGGCAAAAUGGUGCCGUAACUUCGGGAGAAGGCACGCUGGUGUGUAGGUGAAGUCCCUGCGGAUGGAGCUGAGACCAGUCGAAGAUACCAGCUGGCUGCAACUGUUUAUUAAAAACACAGCACUGUGCAAACACGAAAGUGGACGUAUACGGUGUGACGCCUGCCCGGUGCCGGAAGGUUAAUUGAUGGGGUUAUCCGUAAGGAGAAGCUCUUGAUCGAAGCCCCGGUAAACGGCGGCCGUAACUAUAACGGUCCUAAGGUAGCGAAAUUCCUUGUCGGGUAAGUUCCGACCUGCACGAAUGGCGUAAUGAUGGCCAGGCUGUCUCCACCCGAGACUCAGUGAAAUUGAACUCGCUGUGAAGAUGCAGUGUACCCGCGGCAAGACGGAAAGACCCCGUGAACCUUUACUAUAGCUUGACACUGAACAUUGAGCCUUGAUGUGUAGGAUAGGUGGGAGGCUUUGAAGCGUGGACGCCAGUCUGCGUGGAGCCAACCUUGAAAUACCACCCUUUAAUGUUUGAUGUUCUAACGUUGGCCCCUGACCGGGGUUGCGGACAGUGUCUGGUGGGUAGUUUGACUGGGGCGGUCUCCUCCCAAAGCGUAACGGAGGAGCACGAAGGUUAGCUAAUCCUGGUCGGACAUCAGGAGGUUAGUGCAAUGGCAUAAGCUAGCUUGACUGCGAGCGUGACGGCGCGAGCAGGUGCGAAAGCAGGUCAUAGUGAUCCGGUGGUUCUGAAUGGAAGGGCCAUCGCUCAACGGAUAAAAGGUACUCCGGGGAUAACAGGCUGAUACCGCCCAAGAGUUCAUAUCGACGGCGGUGUUUGGCACCUCGAUGUCGGCUCAUCACAUCCUGGGGCUGAAGUAGGUCCCAAGGGUAUGGCUGUUCGCCAUUUAAAGUGGUACGCGAGCUGGGUUUAGAACGUCGUGAGACAGUUCGGUCCCUAUCUGCCGUGGGCGCUGGAGAAUUGAGGGGGGCUGCUCCUAGUACGAGAGGACCGGAGUGGACGCAUCACUGGUGUUCGGGUUGUCAUGCCAAUGGCACUGCCCGGUAGCUAAAUGCGGAAGAGAUAAGUGCUGAAAGCAUCUAAGCACGAAACUUGCCCCGAGAUGAGUUCUCCCUGAGACUUUAAGUCUCCUGAAGGAACGUUAAAGACGAUGACGUUGAUAGGCCGGGUGUGUAAGCGCAGCGAUGCGUUGAGCUAACCGGUACUAAUGAACCGUGAGGCUUAACCUUACAACGCCGAAG